rnacentral:rRNA from 1 species
AUGCCGCUGGCAGGCCAUCGCGUUCUCAUACGCUGCGUGCUCUCAGCCGUGCCGACUUUCGCGCUCACGGCGCUGCGAAUACCCAAGAAAUUCCUCAAGGAGAUAGACAAGUCACGCCAGCGUUUUCUUUGGGCGGGAGACGAAGAGAUCACGGGUGGCAAAUGCAAGGUUAGCUGGGACACGGUGACCAAGCCAGAGCACCACGGUGGGCUGGGCAUCCCUGACCUCAGUCGCUUCACCCGGGCACUGCGGCUGCGAUGGCUCUGGCUUUCCUGGAAUCAGCCAACCAGGCCCUGGGUUGGCAUUGGUAUGCCCUGUGACGCACUGACCGAGCUCUUUUUGCGGCUUCCACGACGGUGA